GUGCAGUGACAUGGUUGUCUCCUUCUUUUCAGACCACCUUGUGGGAGAAGCAGCUGGGACUUGUUUAACUCACCAAAACAGAUUAAAGGAUAUUGCUUAAUCUGGUUUCUGGCAAUCGGAUAAGUCUCCUGAAUUCUGCAUUUUACAUAAUACCAGUAUGCCCCAAACAGGAUCAUGCUUCUACUAUGUAAGGUACAGCACAAAUGAAGUAACACACACACACAGGCUCUGACCUAAAGAACUUAGUCUAACCAAUCCAGCUGAGUCUGAAAGUUGUUUCAGUCUGAUAGCUGUCUGAUGGCCUAUGCAAAAUGAAUUUGGUUGCUUGAGUGCAUUUUGCAGCGGACAGGCCACCAAAAAAAACAGCUCAUAACUAAUACUAAUUUGCAUCCUCAUUGGCAUGCUCAGCUGAGAGGUUGAGACUUGACUGGACCUGGAGACUGAAAUACCAUCUACUCACUGAGGUGGGACCUAAGGAGACUGAAUCCCCAAGGACGUACUCUAUGGUGAGCUGACCAUUGGCUAACAUCAACUUGGGUGACCCAAACUCCAUUGUUGACGUGUGCAAGAAAAAACUUUGUGAGCUGUGCAUUGAUGGCUAAUGCUGGGAAUCAAUUGGUUCGGACCACUGCAAGUAGAAAACCUCCGUGAAGCACAGCCUAUGUCAUUUUGAGAUGCAGAGGGUUAAUGGUGAGCUAGAGAAAAGGCUUCGGAGGCAGGCAAGACAAAACAAUACUCAUCACGCCAGUGCAAGUUCAACUGAGUUUGUACGUGCAGCUUGCCAGAGGGUCUGUCUGUUACACAUUGGACUCAGCCACUCAAGAAGCAUUGGGGGUAUCUGAUAGCCCACCAAAGGCACAAUAUCCACUGUCUCCCAAGACUGAUGGCUGCCAAUGAUGAUGACUUUUGUUCUACUUAGAGAUGGGUUUGGUGUAAGAAUCUAUAGAAGCAGCAAGUGUUAUAGAAUACUUAGUGCAUAGAAGCUUGCUUCCCUCAUUCUGUUUCCUUCUUUUGAUUUUUCUCACCAUUUUGAUGAGCCAGGAACAUUAGGUCUUUGGUAAAGCUUGAAGAGGGGGAAAGGUAUAACAAAAAGCCCACACAAUACUGGCUAGCAGCCCAGACAAUGGCCUGGACAAUUAUGAGUUGAUAUACUGAACAGAAUGAUCAGAACUAAUGUGUUGCUUAUUGAUUACAUUAUGACAAGCCAUUAUGUGACAAGCUCUUAAGUGAGUGUUAGGCACAGCUUCCGAGUCUGUAGGUGUAUGUCAGUUAUACUUAUUCUGUCUGCCUUCUUUUGUGUUUCCUUGUGUAUAUGUGACCAGUAAAAUAGUGGGGUAGACAGGACAAGACAUAGCAUUCAUUGGAAAGGGGCCUAACUGAAAAUCUCAGCUGCAAUCCUUAUCUAUGAAUUUUGGGGAGUGCUGUUUGUAAUCUGGAUCUGAAUUUUUGUGGCCUAUCAUUUUAUUCAUCUGCUGUGAGCCUAUGGUAGUAUCAUCAUCAUCAUCAUAAAUGAACCCAUGUUGCACUGACUGUGUAGUUUUGCCAGGAGUUGAUGCUGCCUCUCCUACCUGCAGUGUCUGGCAUGGAAGCCAGGCACUUGCCAAAGAUGGAGGUGGAUUGAGCAGGGAGCAGGAAAAACUGUGUCAAGUGUUGAGGGCAGACACAGUCCCAGCCUGCUUGCUGUUCCGGGUGCGUGCCCCAGCGUGGGCUUCUAAAGGCACCUGAAUCCUGGGCAGGCA